rnacentral:misc_RNA from 1 species
UUUAUUCCCAAUUCCAUAGCCAACCAAACAUAAGCAUUCCAAAUUAUCCAGUAUUAACUCAUUAGUAAAUCUGUUGCUAAAGCUAUAAGGUAUCGAACUCAAAAUUCAAUAGAAGCCAAAUCAACCUAAAAAAAAUAAUAAAAGGAAAAGUAUAUGCAUUACAAGGCUGACACAAAACAACUGAGAAUCUCAAGUGAAAAUUUGGAGGACCACUGCAUUAUAUCUAGACAAUUAUUAAAUCAGGAACAACAGAGAAGAAAAUACGCCAUGGAAUCUUACCAAGUUGCUAUCUAUAUGCUACAUAUGUGUGAUCCACCACCUACACAGGACACGAAUAGCAAUUUACAUUACAGAAACAUCCAAUGAAAUUUUUUCUCUAUGUCCAAAACUUCCUGCAGAUUUAUUGUCUUCUCCCAUCUUCUACAAGAAUGAAUUUUUUUACUGUAAACUCUACUGAAAUAUCUGUGAGACUGUGGUUUUAUGCUCUACCCUUCCUCUUAUCAUCCAAUGCCUUGCUUUGGAACAUUCUCAUUGUCAACACAAGAGUAUCACGUGUCCUAACAUCAUAUGUAUUGAGAGGAUGAGAAGAUCCACUAGAACAUGUUAAAACAAAUUGUGUUGAGACUCCAGAAGGAAUUUUGAUUGAUAAAUUCUUUGAAAAUUUCUCUGCAAUCAGCUCAACUUCCUCACUUAUGCUCUUGAUUUGAUAGCGUGAUCGUUGCAAAACUAGAAAUGCUGAUUCCCAAUGGUCGGAAGAGUCUGUCAGCAACUGAACACUAAAUGUGGCUUCACCUUUAGACAUGUAUAAGUCAAUCUCCUGGUGCAUGUCUGGGUCACAUUUUAUUUUGUUCUGAUCAUUUGCAAAAAGCCUCACCAGUUCUCCCUGAUAGAAUAAACAAUAAGAAAACAAGAUUCUCGAACAUCACAAAUAUCAAAAGCUGCAUUAUUUUUUAUUAGAAACAUAGAUAAUGAAAUAAGUCAAAUUUCUAGAAAGUAGAAACGGAGACCAUUCAUUUCAAACAACAAAGUGGAUUUGGACACAAAAAUUCCAAUGAUUGAACCAAAAGCAAGGCAAGCAUUGAGGUUCAAAAAUUUGUCUUCAUAAGGACCAUCAGACUGCCUAUCCAAUUUAAAAAUCAUUUAAAAGCAUUGAAAAACAGGAAUGACAGUUUGUUGUAAUUUUGGAAAAUUGUGAUUCCUGGUGCAUAAUUACAUAUGUCACAGAAGGUGUUAAAAAUACCAUGAAUGACUGUAGUCUCCGUAUGAGGAAAUGUGUAUAUGCUUAUGUGUUUGGAACUAUUAAUUAUUAAAAAAAGAUAAAUACCUUUUUAUUAAUAUUAUGGAUAAUGAAAAACAUUUGAGCAACCAAGUCCUUUCAUAUCAUGGUGAAAAAAGGAAGAUAGUCUGUUAAAAGACAACAGUACCAAUUUUCUGGAAUUCUAGUGUUGUAAUAAAGUGUCUAGAAUUUCAUUGCAUUUUUAAAAAUUCAAUGGUUGUGGUCAUUUUUAAUGAAAGCAGCCACAUCUACAUGAAGAAAUUUGAUUUCAGAGACCAAGUUUUGCUACACAGUAACAUUACAGUUUAAUUUCCUUGGCUAAGAAAAAUGCUUGGUAGGUAAUCAAAGAAAUAUUAUUUAUUAGUUAACCUGACGGCCUUGGUCAUCCAUUGGUAUGCACUCAACAGCAAUCAGCUUAUCGACAUCAUCAGCAGUGACAACAUAUUCUGGAUUCGUGGCUCCUUCAAUAUAUUGCCUAGUGCCAUCCUCAAGAUGGCGAACCCACUGAAACAUGCAAAGAGAAGUUCCACGCACAGGAUAUCCACAUCCAAGGAGUUUUUCUCCAGGUGUAGCUUCACCAAUAAUCUGAAACCCAUCUAUUCCAGGACCCUCUAAAAUGCAGCAAGUCAUAUUAAACUUUUAAACAGAGGUCACAAACUUGUUUCUAGAUGAGAACUUCACUUACCUUCAGAAACUGAGGAACCAAUCUCAUCAUGUGUGGUGGAAGGAUGCAGCAAGUCCUUGGUCAUAUCUCCUGUUCUCAUAUUCAUGACACCUUUAUCAAAUAAACUAUUGGAGAGAGGACCAGUAACCUUCCUAGAAGGAUCAAAUGAGAAAUCUGAGAAAUUGUUCUUGUUUAACUGCUGAUGCGUCUUGUCUGCCAUAUCAAUUUCACGUCUAUAUCUCAUCAUUUUAUUAGUAGGCUCCAGAUGCCAUUCGUCUAUAUAGUGAUUAGAAGGAGAAAUGCCAUUUUUAAUCGUGGAUUGAUGAGGAGAUUGACGCAUCAAGUUGCCAGUACCAGUGUUAUCUUUAUCAUGAAAUUCACUCUCAUUACGAAAGCCCACCACUAAAUCUCUGAUUUUAUCCUGUAAUAAAUGUAAAUCCAUGCCAAUAUUAUCAUUUCAAAUUGUAAAUCAACAUUACAAUUUAUGAGAUGACAAAGAAAAGGUUACAAUUCAAAAAUACUUCAGUAACAUAUCUGUAAACAAAGGAGAAACAAUCUUGGUUCAAGAAUUAAAAUGGCAAGUUAUGAUAAAAUGUUUCAGUAAGUUUGUGAGAGGCAUGUAGGUAGGUAAAUCUGCAAGUAUGUGAAGUUCUAAUCUUUGACUGUAAUUGAUUGUGCAGAUGCUGCAUGACAUCAAGAAAAGCAAAGUUAUAUCAAAUUUGGUAAACAUAUUAUUCAUAGACAAUUAGGAUACAUGUUGGUAAUUAAAACAGUUUUUAGGCAUCAUGUCCGCCUGCCAGCCAAUGGGAGAAUAAACAGGAGGAAAAAUAACAAACAAACUAUCAAGUAACAGUGAGUACAACAGAAGCAAUCAAGGCUUUCGUACUAUCACAUGGACUUAGAAUAGUUCAUGACAGUGUUUGAACAAUGUUGAUUGUACAAUCACUUGUGGAAAUUCUAACAAAAAAAUUAUGUUGUUUGUACAAAAAGCUUUGGCCUGGAAAAUAUCCUAAUCGCUGAAUUCAUAUAAUACAGACAUUAUAAUUCAAUGAAGAAACUAGGAGUCCCUCAGGAGGUGAAGAACCUUUAAUACAUGAGAUUUCAGUUAGCAGGUCUUAUGUCAGGGAUACAUGUGCACAACACUAGGCAGUUCAGCUAUAUGUCCAGUAUAUAUCUAUAAAUAUUUAACAUCUAUUAUUACAUUAAAGGUGCCGUUUGGUUCUUACUUCUUAUUACUAAUUUAGUAUUUUUUGCUGAACAUUAAUGCACAUAAAUGAUAUACGUUGUGAAUUUGAUUGAAGAUUGAAGAGACUGCAAAGCAGAAUAAAUUCACAGCAUGUUAGUGGUUCAACACAAAAAAUAAAUAGCAUUUUCUCAUGCCUGGCAAAAGAAUUGGCAAAAUUGAAAAGGGAACAAUGCACCUUAUAAACUGUAAAAUGGACAUGUGUCCACUUGUCACAGAUAUAUGUGAAGUAAAUAAUUAAUACCGUUAUGCUGUUGGAUACAGCAGAGGCAUUUAUGACAUGGGGCCAAACACCAUAUUCAGCCAGUAAGCCAAGCAUGGAUGACGUGAAAAUAUAUCUCUCAUCAUCUACAACCUUCAAAUCAUGGGCCAAUUUUAAGUUUUCUUCAAGAUCGCCUUUUCUGCGAACCAAUUCAUUCAAGGCAGAUGUAAUAGCUUCAUUUUGCUUCUCAUCAAUUGCCAUUCUCAAGUCAGAAAACUUCCUUUCCAACACAUAUUUUUCAUUCAGCAGUUGCAGCUCCCUAACAUAAGCAGCUGCAAUUUGUUUACGGAGAAUCUGGAUCUCUUCUUUCUGUGCUCUUACUCGUGAAUACAGCUCCACUGCCUCUCUGUCUUCAGAAUAAUUGAAAUUUUCAUCACCUUUUAACCUCCUUUGUGUAAGAGGUGCUUCAAUAUUAUGCCUGUUUAUAGAAUUAGAGCUUUGAGUCUGAGCCCCAUCAUUGUUAAGCCCUUGCAUAGGGCUUUUACUUGAAGACAUUGCAUUGGCUUAGGUUCCCUUCAAGACUCCCUCUGAUUGAAUGACAUCCAAAGUUUUCCAUGAUCACCACCUAAAUCAUGCAUUUUACCUCAUUUUAUUCCCCACUUUCUUUUUGCCCAGAAGGUGAAACGUUCCUUUACAGGUUGCCACUCCCAAGUGGUUUAAGUUACUUCAACUGUUUGAUGAAGAACCACAGAGAGAGAUCGAAUCCUAUUGUAAAAGAUAACAGAAAAAGAUACCCCAAAUCAAAAGGCUAGCAGAUAGAUCCAUCAGCUCACGUAUACGUACAUUCUAGAGAGAGAGUCUGUUAAUUAAAAUCAAGCGUUGGCCUCUGGGAACAGUAUCUUAUUUUUUU